CAACUUUUAACAACGGAUCUCUUGGUUCUCGCAUCGAUGAAGAACGUAGCAAAGUGCGAUAACUAGUGUGAAUUGCAUAUUCAGUGAAUCAUCGAGUCUUUGAACGCAACUU
rnacentral:rRNA from 6 species